rnacentral:rRNA from 1 species
GACGAACGCUGGCGGCGUGCUUAACACAUGCAAGUCGAACGGAAAGGCCCUGCUUUUGUGGGGUGCUCGAGUGGCGAACGGGUGAGUAACACGUGAGUAACCUGCCCUUGACUUUGGGAUAACUUCAGGAAACUGGGGCUAAUACCGGAUAGGAGCUCCUGCUGCAUGGUGGGGGUUGGAAAGUUUCGGCGGUUGGGGCUGGACUCGCGGCUUAUCAGCUUGUUGGUGGGGUAGUGGCUUACGAAGGCUUUGACGGGUAGCCGGCCUGGGAGGGUGACCGGCGACAUGGGGCCUGAGAUACGCACCAGAAGGCUACGGGAGGCAGUAGGGGAGAAUAUUGCACAAUGGGCGGGAGCCUGAUGCAGCGACGCCGCGUGCGGGAUGCCGGCCUUCGGGUUGUAAACAGCUGUGGCCUGUGACGAAGCGGGAGUGACGGUAAUUGGUAAAGAAGCACCGGCUAACUACGUG